CUUGUGCUAAUACCGGAUAAGCCCUUACGGGGAAAGUUUUAACGCCGAAAGAUGAGCCCGCACUUGAUUAGCUAGUUGGUAAGGUAAAAGCUUACCAAGGCAAUGAUCAAUAGCUGUUCUUAGAGGAAGACCAGCCACAUUGGGACUGAUACACGGCCCAGACUCCUACGGGAGGCAGCAGUGGGGAAUCUUGCACAAUGGGGGAAACCCUGAUGCAGCGAUGCCGCGUGAGUGAAGAAGGCCCUUGGGUUGUAAAACUCUUUCGUCGGGGAAGAAAAUGACUGUACCCGAAUAAGAAGGUCCGGCUAACUUCGUGCCAGCAGCCGCGGUAAUACGAAGGGACCCUAGCGUAGUUCGGAACUACUGGGCUUAAAGAGCUCGUAGGUGGUUAAAAAAGUUGAUGGUGAAAUCCCAAGGCUCAACCUUGGAACUGCCAUCAAAACUUUUUAGCUAGAGUGUGAUA
rnacentral:rRNA from 1 species